GCCUCCCGCACCCCCCGCCCGACCUUCUCCCCCUGCCCUCCCCUGCCCUCCCGUGUCCCCAUCCCGUCGAAACCCUAAGCGGCGGCAGCCGCCAUGGUGAAGGGACGCACGGGGCAGCGCGUCAGGCUCUACAUCCGGGGCACCAUCCUCGGCUUCAAGAGGUCGAAGUCGAACCAGUAUGAGAGCACGUCGCUGGCGGAGGUCGAGGGGGUGAACACCAAGGAGGACGUGGCGUGGUCAGGUGUCGCCGCGACGGAAGAAGCCUCCUCCGCUCUGCUCUGCUCGCCGUGCUGCUGUGGCUCCUGGUGGCAGUGAGCGUGAAGCUGGGGCGGCGCCACAUCGCCCACAACGCGGUGGAGCUGAUGGAGAGGUGUCUGGCCAAGGACGACUUCCCUGAGUACUAUGACGGCAAGACGGGGCGGUACAUCGGGAAGCAGUCGCGCAAGUUCCAGACGUGUUUGUUUAAGGCUGUUGCUUUGCUCUGUGUGAUUUUACUCUAGCAUGUGUGUUGCAUUUUGUCCUGCACCUUGAGAAUGACUAGGAUUUAUGUUAUAGAAUUCCAAGUGUAGUCGCAAUAUAUAACAUGCCUAAAGUAUAUGGACUUGUGCAGUGUGUCCAUCGAGAGUAGAUAGACUAUUUCUUUCAUGAUUCAUCUAUAUAUGCUGCUCUUAUAUGCAAGUUUGUAUCUGGAUGUCUUA